rnacentral:rRNA from 1 species
AUUGAACGCUGGCGGCAUGCCUUACACAUGCAAGUCGAACGGCAGCGGGGGAGAAGCUUGCUUUUCCUGCCGGCGAGUGGCGAACGGGUGAGUAAUACAUCGGAACGUGCCCUGUAGUGGGGGAUAACUAGUCGAAAGAUUAGCUAAUACCGCAUACGGCCUGAGGGUGAAAGGGGGGGACCGCAAGGCCUCAUGCUAUAGGAACGGCCGAUGUCUGAUUAGCUAGUUGGUGGGGUAAAGGCCUACCAAGGCGACGAUCAGUAGCUGGUCUGAGAGGACGAUCAGCCACACUGGGACUGAGACACGGCCCAGACUCCUACGGGAGGCAGCAGUGGGGAAUUUUGGACAAUGGGCGAAAGCCUGAUCCAGCAAUGCCGCGUGUGUGAAGAAGGCCUUCGGGUUGUAAAGCACUUUUGUCCGGAAAGAAAUGGCUCUGGUUAAUACCUGGGGUCGAUGACGGUACCGGAAGAAUAAGGACCGGCUAACUACGUGCCAGCCGCCGCCGUAA